rnacentral:tRNA from 1 species
AGCGGGAUGGCGCAGUUGGCAGCGCGGUGGGCUCAUAACCCACAGGUCGAGAGUUCGAGUCUCUCUCCCGCCA